CCAUACAGCUAAGGAAUUAAUCGGUUGUUUGUUCCCAGUUGAUUCCCGACAUAACAAAACAAAAUAAACAUGUAGAAAGCUUUUGAAGAAUAUGUUUGGACACCGGUUCGAUUCCGGUCGCCUCCACAA
rnacentral:tmRNA from 1 species